rnacentral:rRNA from 1 species
UACGUAGGGGGCAAGCGUUGUCCGGAAUCAUUGGGCGUAAAGAGCGUGUAGGCGGCCCGAUAAGUCCGCCGUGAAAGUCCAGGGCUCAACCCUGGAAUGCCGGUGGAAACUGCCGGGCUGGAGUCCGGAAGAGGCGAGUGGAAUUCCUGGUGUAGCGGUGAAAUGCGUAGAUAUCAGGAGGAACACCGGUGGCGAAGGCGCCUGUCUGGCCCAAUACUGACGCUGAGGCGCGAAAGCUAGGGGAGCAAACGGG